rnacentral:rRNA from 1 species
GUCAAUGGCCAUACCAUCCUGAAUGGACUCGAUCUUGUCUGAUCUUGAAAGCUAAGCAGGGUUGGGCCUGGUUAGUACUUGGAUGGGAGAACACCUAGGACUACUAGGUGCUGUAGAAA